GGAGCUAACACAGGUGCUGCAUGGCUGUCGUCAGCUCGUGCCGUGAGGUGUAUGGUUAAGUCCCACAACGAGCGCAACCCUCGUCGCUAGUUAAUUUCCCUAGCGAGACCGCCUCGCAAAACGAGGAGGAAGGCGGGGAUGGCGUCAAGUCAGCAUGGCCUUUAUACCCUGGGCGACACACACGCUACAAUGGGUGGUACAGUAGGUAGCGAAGGAGCGAUCCGGAGCAAAUCCUUAAAACCAUCCUCAGUACGGAUUGCAGGCUGAAACCCGCCUGCAUGAAGCCGGAGUUGCUAGUAACCGCAUAUCAGCAUGGUGCGGUGAAUACGUUCUCGGGCCUU
rnacentral:rRNA from 1 species